rnacentral:sRNA from 1 species
GACGCCAUCGACUGCGCCACCCAGGCCCUCGAGAAGUGAGUUAUGAGCUUUCUCAUUGCAUUUUAAACGCUUGAAUAAUUCGAUUGCCAUGAACAACACUUGGUCGCUUAGUAGAGAAAAAGUGUAAAGAAAUGUCGUUUAGCUGUUUGGAACGGCUCAUCGGUCCCUUGAUUUAAACUAAAGUGGACGGCAGCCCGAGUCUAGGGGAGGGGGCGAGCAGGAGCGACCAGCUGAUCGAACAAAUCUGAUCCUUGUGCAAGAAAAAAGCGAAGCGAUGAAAGUCUAAAAAAUAAAAUCAAAACAUUUUUUUUUCAGAUACAACAUCGAGAAGGAUAUUGCCGCUUACAUCAAGAAGGAGUUCGACAAGAAAUACAACCCAACCUGGCAUUGCAUCGUCGGAAGAAACUUUGGAAGCUACGUGACCCACGAGACUAAGCACUUUAUCUACUUCUACCUUGGACAGG